UUGCUGUUUCCUCUUGUUUCCAUGUAAAGAGCCCCAUGGUGUUUAAAGCGCUCUGACAGGUCAAAAGAAAAGCACAACACUAUAUGUUCUAAGUUUAUCCAUUCAUGAGUUCAGAGUAUGUAUCCUCCUUUGACUCAUCAGUUUGUAUCUAUAAAAUACAUUACAGAAAUCAAACAGUAGAUUCAACAUCUAAGACUAAAUUUGAACAGUGUACAAAAGGCAUACAAUUGUCUUUUCACCAUAGACUGUACAAAACUUGGACACAGUCUCUGUGAUAUCACCCAUUUGUUUCUUAAAUGCAGUUUUGAAAUCUUUUAGAUGUGGCUGCAAAUGCUGACCCAUCAUAACGGCUUACAAACCUCUAAUAAGCCAAACAUGUAACCCUGAUAUCUUCUAAAUAAAUGCAUUAUAUAAAAAAACGUUUCAUCCUUGCUCAACAUGUGCCUAGUGAAGCAAAGAGAUUUAAUCAAAUUGUUUAUUCAUUAACUGAUUAAUUAAUUUCUUGAUUUUAAACAGGCUGUAAACAUACUCAUGACUUCUGCAUUCAGCCUCAAGUGGACACUGGGGGAACUGCAGUUUGUAGUACUCCUUAAUUUAAAAGACUGGACGUUACUUCUUGGUGUUCACCCUAUCUGUAGACUCUACUUGCCCAAAGGAUGAUUGUAUGAAAAUAGAAAAUUUGGUGAGUCGUGAGUUUUGAAACAUAAAAAAGCCUCCACAGGGGCCUACUACUACUCAGGUGAGGCCAAGUCAUGUGCAGGCACAACCUGGUAGUUAGUCUAUACUGCAACCAGUCAGCAGGGGGGGCUCUAAAUCCCUUGGUCUUCAAACAGGCAGAUACUUAUGGCGUCUAUCUAUGGUUAAAACCUGCUCAAUAAGGCCAAAUAAGGCCUGUCUAAGAGUGGCUUAGAGGACAAUAGGCCUUGUGCAUUCAUGGUGAUGUAGUUUCCCCCUAUAGUGCUGUUCUGUCUCUGAUUUAGUUGGUAAGGCUGCACCAUGUCAGAUCAAGUUUCCUGAAUCCCUUUUUUUAAUAAAAAUGCAAUUUUUAGAGCUGAAUUAUGGAUAUAUUUCUGGAUUACCAUAUUGGAAGUGAUUGAGGGUGAAAGACCCACAUCCAAAACAUCCCUGCUUGUCUCUUCUUGUAAGCACAAGUCAAAUUUAAGCCAUGCCCACAACCUGCUCCACCUUUGAAGUGCAGCUGUUAACUGUUGCAGGCUAUUUCAACAUAGCCCACAGCCAAUGCCUCGUCUUCUAAAGAUAGCUUUUAUGUUAAAAUGUUAGGUGCACAUUAUUAACUGCUUUAUUCAUGACCUUGCAUAUCAGACCUCAUCCUCCCACAGUUAAAGAAAAUCAUUGGUUAUGUGGAGGAAGAAGGGCAGUUAUGUUUCUCCUGGUGAUUCACGUCCUGUUCUUUCACAUGAAAGUCUGUUUCUUCAGUUUUCCCUGUUUUAAAUAUGUUUUCAAUCGUCUUGCAGCUCACUAGCACAAAUAAGCUUCAGAAGAGCGCUGUUUGAAGACAGUGAGAGUUGUCCUCUUAAAAGCUUGAAUAAUUGAAUUUGAUAUAUAAUUAAUAGGAGCAUGUUCAAAAUCAAAACAAAGAGUCGUCCACACACGUCACUCCAAUAUUGCUCACCCAAGAAUCUGUGGAAGUGGCACACGGAGGCAAUGCACUAUAAAAUCCUAUUCAACAUGCUCUCUGUCUGGGAGGUCGUUGUCACUUCCAAUUUCUCCACAUUCAUCUCUGUGAAGCGAGCAGCAGUGUGUGCAGAGACCAGGCUCCUCUAUGUGCAUCUCAUAAAGGAGCCUCAGAGUCAGACGAUGAAGAGUUCAGGGCUGGGGCGUCGUUAGAGGAGUUUAUUUCAAAGUGAAUUAUUUGGAAAAGUAAUAAACACUCAUUCAUAGCAGGAAAUUACAUAAACUGCUUUAAAUGAAGGGUAGUAAAGGCUGCAGUCCAUGGAAGGGAAAAUCUUAAUAAUGCCGUGUUUAUUACAUUUCUUUUCAGUACCAGAUAUUCUCCCCCUGAAGACAAAACUUCUAUUGAACAGUAAAAUAAAAAAGCAGGGGUGUUUAAAGCAGGGUUGUGUUCAGUGCUCAUCAGUGGUAAGUGUGUCACCAAGAGAAGACUGCUGUUGGAUGUAACUCUGCAACUUGUUGAAGCCUGUCACAGACUUAAGAUUUUAAAAAUCUUGACUUCAUUUGAAAACCACACAAAGACAAAGUAAACCGUUUUGUUCCUGUGGUGUGUGGUUUGCAACAAUGUGGUGAACAAACAUGCCAGCCUAUGAGAGCUAAGCAUUUCAGUAGAAACUUCUUUUUAAGGCCAUCCUUUGUCAUUUUGAUUGUGUUUUGAUCUACCAAACAAAUCAUUUAAAAAGAUCAACAAGUGGGUUCUGACACCUGUCUAGUUUAUGCUACACAUUUACUACUGUUGCCACGGUUGCAAUUGUGUUUCUGUCUUCAGUUAGAAGGAUGUUGGUGUGUCACAUGUGACAGUGGAUCCUAAGGGAACCCCCCACAUGUAAGGAUGUCUGAUCGAAAAUAUUGAACAUGCUUAAUAUAUACGAUCACAAGUCGACAAGGCCCUGAGCCUGUUAUGCACAGUUGGGAGGGAAGAAAAAUCACACUUAAAACACCUCACACCACAAGAUAAUAAGCCAAGGCAAUCUUUAGGGACACCCAAUGAUCAAUCUUUAGCUGAUUUUUGUCAUCAAGGGGGAUCAGGCUCAAAAUUGGCAUGAUUGUCUUGUAGCGUGGACCCCAUCUAAGCUGUGGCUCUGUGGUACAGUUGAUUUCUUCCCCAGUCAGAAGAACAACAGUUGGAUCCCAGGUCCCUAUAUCAACAUGCUGAAUUGCCCAAGAUCCCAAGCCCCAAAACUGCCCUAAGUGGUUGUGCUACCUAGGGAAGGGCAAUAAAUUAUCGUUCACAAUAUAUCGUCAGAAAGAUCCUCCAUGAUAAAUAUUUGCCAUCUCAUGAUAAAUACGAUAAAUGCAAGUAGAUGACUUAAGUGCCAGCAAUGGACUUGUAGCCAUAGCCCACAUGGAGCAGAAUAAUAAACAAACAUGGCUGAAGAUGGUGAAGAUGACAUUUCUGAGCAGCUCGUUACUGAACGAGGCUCCACAUGAGGGAUUUCCUUCAAGAUUGGGGCUUAGAUAAAUGCCAUCAGGUAUGCCUGACAUCGGACAGUGAAUCUACUGCUGUUCACACUGCGCAAUAAGAGCUUUUGACAAAUGUUGAAAAUGUUUUCACAUUUGAGACUUGUUUGAUGUCAUUAGUUUUCUCCAUAACCUACCACUUAAAUUUGUGGUCAAGUAUCUUAUUUGACUACUCUAUCUGGUGUUCCCGAGACAUAAUGAGUCAAAAGUAUAGAUCACAAUUAUAAUAGUUUCUAUAAGGACUUUUAGCGUAGUAGUAAUAGUAAUAGUGGUUGGUGCUUUACACAGAAGUUUCUGCAUUAAUGUAGAUUAGACAUGACCGUAAUGUUGCUCUCUGAGAGGUCAGCAGGCUACAGAAAGUGCUUCACUCCUCUGUAGAGAAACUGAGAGGAGAAGCAGCUGUCAAGUGCUGCUGAGGGGCCAAAGCUGCACAUUAAAACACCAAUUUUAAGGAAGUCUACAAAAUUCUCAUUCCAAUGAGAAUUUUUGCGAUAUCUAAUGUCCCUGCAAAACCCUUCUCCCUCUGUAGUAUUUUGGUCAUGUAAGUACCUUAUACUACUCCACUGUUAAGCAUCAAAUAUCUCUUUUAGCAGGAAAAAUAUUUGAACUGAAAUGUUUAAUGCCUGACUUAAUGAAGUAGACAAAGUUUGUUUAUUGUGCCCACAGCUCCACAUUUUUUUAACUUUUGUAGCUACCUGCUGUGUAGGACCUCCAGCCUCUCCAAAACAGAGCAGUGCUGACUGUGAUCUACUGUACAUAAUACUAUUAGCAUUGAUAAGUACCUUGUAUAACCCCACUUCAAAGACAGGAAUGAUGCCUUAAAAUUCUUACUUUCCCUCCAAAAUCAAUACACACACUUAGACAAGUGUUCCUAUCCUACCAGCUGUUGUAAGCAAUGAUCUUUUUCUCUUAAAAAAAAAAAUGUUUUGUGAGCAUUAAUCAGGUAAAUAGGACUUCAUUAAAAUGUGCGUAUUUUUCGCUACUGUCAGUGGGACAUGAAAUUGCUUGCUGUAUAAAAUGUGUUUAAAUGUUAAAGUACUGUUUAACUCCACCUGGAUUUUAAUGAAAAAUAAAACCAGGGGCAAUGUGAAACAAAUGUGUGCAGGUAAGGUGUAAGUGCCUCUCUGAAUGCCACAUUGUAGUUAAUUGGUUCACAUUAAACCUGAUAGGCGCAGGUUUUGGUUUGAAAACGGCUCUUUUAUCAAAAACUGCCCGUGCUGCAGCUCAUUUUACCUGCCAGCCUCGGCAGCUCCACCAUAAAACACACAAUAAUUUUCCAAUUUCCUCCUGCCCAAGAGUGUUAUAGUCAUUUCUUUAUAAUUAUUUUAAUGUUUUAAAGCUCCAAAACCGUCUUUAAUUGACUUUUUUUUACCCCUUUUACACAAAAUAAUACGAGGCCUGAAAAUGUCUUUCAUAGAAGCGUAAAAGAUCACAUUUUACUCUACAGCAAUUAGCUCUCAUUCUGUGAUGAGGGCCUCCAUAUUUUAUAUUGACUGGAACAGUGCAGAUGCAAAGCAGGCCAUUGUAUGGGGAUCUCAUUAUGCUACAAAGAGUUUCACUCCAUCUAAAUCAUGACGCUGAUGUGUCUAAUAGGGCCCAAAUAAAGUCGGCUCAUUUAUGAAGCAGUUAAUGUGUUCAUCAGAACUUCAGUUGCAGGCCUCUGUUUAUGGCCAUUAUGCUAUUCAGGACAGUGUUUCUCAUUUUUCAACAUGCUACAGGGAAAAUCCUCUUCACUGCAGUCAGCUGGAGUCUGUGGUGUAAAGUGGAGCUGCGGCUCUGAGCACAUCUCAACGGCAGUUGGGAGAAAAUAUUGGCGGCAACUAUUUAUUUGGAGGAUGAGGCAUUAAACACAUUUGCAUAAUCUGAGUGUUGCUGCAGCUGGCCCGCAACAACAUCAACUCAAACAGCCCUAAUUUCACUCUUAUCGUUUCUCUGUGAAGAGAGGAGCAGCAAAAAUCAACCAUUCAUCUCUUUUACAUUUAUUAGCAUGACUGCUUUCACCCAGUCUCUCAGCUGCCACUGUUCAUUUACCGAGCGUGUCUUCUGGGAGAGAUAUCAUAUGUUGUUUUAUGAGUGUGUUAAAAACUACUGGCCAUGAAAAAGCAGACACACUGUAGAGGCAACCUUUUAGAUAAGGUGAGACAAGGCCCUCAGGAGUGCUGGUGUUUGCACAGAGGUGUCCUAAUGUCAGAGAGGCAUAAAAAAGCAUCCUGUAGAUAUGAGACAUGGAUUGUUGGGAGGUGCACAGGGGCUGAAAAGAAAGGGAUCUUUGCGACCAAAGGGCUGCAAAUUUAAUGCGUACAUUUGACACUCAAUAAAAGAACAACAAGACUGUGGGUUAAGGGUGCAACCUUUAUUUUAAUAAAUCCAGAAAUGCCAUUAAUGUAAGCACUCUGUUGAAAUUUAAAUUCUGCCAAUGUGAAAAAGAAAAGAGUGCGCUGAGCGUCCAUGACAUUUUGAACUCAUGAUGAACAGAACAAAAAAUAUUCAUAUCAGCACAACAGAACUAGAAAUGUCAUCGUUGUGUUACCUAUUCUUCUAUUUUUGUGAGAAACUGGUGCUUAAACCACAUACAUUGAAAUUAAAGUGCAGCGCAUUCAGACAGAGGCUGUGACAUUAUCAUGGUCGGCCUUGAGCAGAGAUGAGGAGCAGGUAACAGAGGGUGUUAGGAUUAUUGCUUUUGUAAUGAUAUACUCCCUUUUUUGUUGCAGCAUCAAAUUCAAACUGAGUGAAUAUUUGCAAAAGGACAAGUUUAUCAUUUUGAACAUUAAAUAUCUUGCAUUUGUAGUUUCUUCGAUGGAUUUAGCUCGAAAAUGAUUUGCAAACCAUUGUAUUCUGUUUUCAUUUAUGUUUUACUCAAUGUUCCACGACUUGAUUGGAGUUGGUGUUAGUAAUAUUGCACAGCGUCUCCAUCUUCCCAAACAGAGCCCUUAUC